UGACUUUUCAAGUGACGAAGAAGGAGCCGAUAUUCAGGAGUUUGAGAGGGAAACGCCUGACUCUGUAGACUCUGAUAAAGAUAUUGACGAGAUGAAUGACCCCAAGUGAUUUUGGACGAGCAAUGGAAUUUCCAGGGUUGUCUAGCCACUAGAUGCUGAAAAAAAGCCUUCAUCUUGCCCAAAAGUUUUGAAGACGUCCUUUCACGAGUUACCUGUCUCUUUCAUCCAAUUUCAAAAGGCUCAGUGUUUAAAGCGGUUACUGUUAGUUCUGGGCUACGCAAAGAAAGUACUGCUUUGAGGACUUCACUCUUACUGAAGCCAGGACUUCGUUUUAAUACACUAACUUUUGCCCAAGUUGUGUGGGAAUAUUUUUUUAUGAGCCAACACGGAAAUGGACACUUGUAGUAUUUGCGUUUCAGAGCCCCAAUAAUUAAAUUAUUUUGAUUAAAAAGCAGAAUGAACAUAUUAUCGUAGGGCUUGCUAGUUAUCUUUUUUUGCAUCAAAUUGAACGUUCACCACCAAGUGCUACGAAGCGGUUAUGAUACAGUAGUUACGGCGCAUACGUAGCGAAGUCUUACAUCAGUUGUGCGUUCAACCUAAAUGUUACCCCUUCUAUAUUGAAAAAGUAAUAAAGCGCUUUCAAAUAAA